rnacentral:rRNA from 1 species
CCUACGGGUGGCUGCAGUGGGGAAUAUUGCACAAUGGGGGAAACCCUGAUGCAGCGACGCCGCGUGAGUGAAGAAGUAUUUCGGUAUGUAAAGCUCUAUCAGCAGGAACGAGACAAGACGGUACCUGAAUAAGAAGCCCCGGCUAACUACGUGCCAGCAGCCGCGGUAAUACGUAGGGGGCAAGCGUUAUCCGGAAUCACUGGGUGUAAAGGGAGCGUAGACGGCUGAGCAAGCCUGAGGUGAAAGGCGGGGGGCCAACCCCCGGACUGCUUUGGGAACUGUACGGCUGGAGUGCAGGAGAGGUAAGUGGAAUUCCUAGUGUAGCGGUGAAAUGCGUAGAUAUUAGGAGGAACACCAGUGGCGAAGGCGGCUUACUGGACUGUAACUGACGUUGAGGCUCGAAAGCGUGGGGAGCAAACAGGAUUAGAUACCCCUGUAGUC